GAUGAACGCUAGCGGCAGGCCUAAUACAUGCAAGUCGAACGGUGUCUUCGGACAUAGUGGCGCACGGGUGCGUAACACGUAUGCAACCUACCUUACAUUGGGGGAUAGCCUUUCGAAAGGGAGAUUAAUACCGCAUAAGACAGUAGCUGGGCAUUCAGCAGCUGUUAAAGAUUUAUCGAUGUAAGCUGGGCAUGCGUCCAAUUAGCUAGUUGGUGAGGUAACGGCUCACCAAGGCAAUGAUUGGUAGGGGAACUGAGAGGUCAAUCCCCCACCCUGGGACUGAGAUACGGGCCAGACUCCUACGGGAGGCAGCGGUAGGGAAUAUUGGGCAAUGGACGCAAGUCUGACCCAGCCAUGCCGCGUGCAGGAUGAAGGCGUUAUGCGUUGUAAACUGCUUUUAUACAGGAAGAAGCGACUCUUGCGAGAGGCAUUGACGGUACUGUAUGAAUAAGCACCGACUAACUCCGUGCCAGCCGCCGCCGUAAAAC
rnacentral:rRNA from 1 species